rnacentral:rRNA from 1 species
CACGUAGGGUGCGAGCGUUGUCCGGAAUUAUUGGGCGUAAAGAGCUCGUAGGCGGUGUGUCGCGUCGGCCGUGAAAACCUGGGGCUUAACUCUGGGCGUGCGGUCGAUACGGGCAUCACUGGAGUUCGGCAGGGGAGACUGGAAUUCCUGGUGUAGCGGUGAAAUGCGCAGAUAUCAGGAGGAACACCGGUGGCGAAGGCGGGUCUCUGGGCCGAUACUGACGCUGAGGAGCGAAAGCCAGGGGAGCAAACGGG